UUUUUGUUUGCAGUCAAAUCUUUCGCCAUCUAAAACAGCGGUAAGGGAGAAGCCCCCUCCCCCACCCACCAUGAUGCUGCAAACAAGAAUGUCCAACAGUCAGUUAGAAUUUUUCAAAAUGCUGGAUGAAAAAAUAGAAAUGGGAAAAGACUACAUUUCAGAAGAAGACAAGCUCCAGCCAUGUAACUGAAGAAGGAUGUUUUUAUGUAUGUCAUAUUUUCUACAUUUUACAACUUUCAUCAUGGUGCAAGAAGCUAUUUUCAAACAUGUAAGGGGAGUAACUCUUUUCUUUCCAGGAAGUUUUCAAGAGUUACUUGCCCUUCACUGAUAUUACAUUUUAGUAUCAAAACAAUGAGGCUUUAACAUGAUAUGUGUGUGGCAGUGUGUUGUAGAGAAGCAAGGAUUGGGUGGGUGAUGAUGUAAUUAGGAUUCCACUGGUUGGGUUUAUUGGUAAAGUGAGUGAACUCUUUCUUUUUAAGAGAUAUGAAUAAGAAUCACUGGGUACCAUAUUUGUUAUGGUGUACAGCUUGGGCCGCAGUGGUUGAAUCUAUUGCCUGAUUUGUAAAUAGGCAAAACUGCAUAUGUACUUUUAAACACUUUGGGGGCCUCUGUGGCUCAGUUGGUUAGCGCGCUAGCUUAGCGUAAUGACCCAGGAGUCUCACCAAUGCGGUCACUGUGAGUUCAAGUCCAGCUCAUGCUGGCUUCCUCUCCGGCUGUACGUGGGAAGGUCUGACAGCAACCUGCGGAUGGUCAUGGGUUUCCCCCGGGCUCUGCUCGGUUUCCACCCACCAUAAUUCUGGCCGCCGUCGUAUAAGUGAAAUAUUCUUGAGUACGGCGUAAAACACCAAUCAAAUAAAUAAAUAAAUAAAUAAAACACUUUGCUCUUUUUUUAAAGACUUUUGAAAGCCUUAUUGGGGUUAAUCACUGCAUCUGUAUAAGUAUGAGCGAACAAUGUCUCUAAUGUUUGCUGUUUAAGACUGCCAGGAUAUGAAACCACCCCAGCGUUUUGGAUUAAGAUUCAUUUUCAUUACCCGGUCAACAGUUUAGCUACAACAAUGAGUGAAUGUUUCACAAACACGAAUUGAGGGCAUUGAAGUGGGACAUCUAUAUAUCAGUAAAGAUAAAAAAUAUAUAUAUAUAUAUAUUCAAAAUAAGGACUUAUAUGUGGACGUUUGUAAACAUUUUGUGUAAUUUCACAGAGGUAAAGAAAAUCUGUUUUACCUACUCGUCUCUUCCAACUUUUAUUUUCAUUUUGAUGUCUUGUAUUUUUUUUUUUUUUUUUUUUAACAUCUUUAUGUUAGAAUGCACUUGUUGCAAAAUCAUGUUGUUUUAUUUUUUUUGGUCAACCCAGAUGUACAAGUUGUGUAGUUCUGAUUCUAAAGACAUGCAACUCCAGGGCAUAGAUUUACAGCAGUGAAAAACUUACAACUGUCAUGUAAAAAAAAAAUUAAUGACAUAAAAUUACACAAAUUUACAUGUACUCAUUUACGUGUACAUGUAAGUAUGC